UGACUGUUUGUAGUGCUUGUAUGAUGCAUUGGAUUUAAGUUUUUGAUGUCAUAAUAGUAGGUAUCACACAUGCUCUUAAGUUUUUGAUUCACAUUAACUUGAGUGUAUAGAUUACAUGACACAAAAUUUCCAGUUGUGACAAAUAAUAUUGAUGACAACAAAUCACCAACACCACCCAUGCUCCAUCGAUUGAGAAUCGUUAACAUUAGUCCUCUUUUGUACCACCUCGAUCUAUCGACAAUAUCUUUCUUCGACUCCACCCACUACCAUCAUAUUCUAGCCAUCGAAUCAGAAGAUUAUAUGAUUACAACGUUUGACUUUGAACUUUUUUUUUUUUUUUUUUUUUUCCGUUUUUGGAUAUUGAGUUUCCGGUGAUUGUAUGUGGUUGCACCUGCUUUGCUUGCUGAUAUCGACCCUCGAAUUCCCAUCAUCGGUGCUUACAAAUGAUCGAUUUGUGGUUCUAUUCAAAGAAUUUCUCAUUACCUGGAAGUCUAUUUCGUUUUGCAUGCCACGUGUUUGAUGAAAUGUCCGAUUCAAUCCAUAUUGUAAAAUGAAGUUUCUUUUAAAGAGCUGUCGUCUUACAAUUGAUAUAGUUGUGUCUAAUUCAGUCCAGGUUUAUAGUUUACACUCAAAAAGGUCUUUAAGUUCUGUGGUGAGCUAUACAACCAUCCAUACGUCAACUUAGGUUCAUAGGUUCACAUGUUCAAUUUUAGUUUCUCAGAUUCACAGUUUGACGGGUUUUAAUUCUAUAUAAUCUGACUUAUCAAUUUUUUGAUGUCAUGUUUGAAGAAGUUGUUUUCGUUUCUCAUAUUAAUGUUUCCAGUUUAGGCUCCAAGUUGUUAGCUUUCUUUGAUAUAGUUUCUUCUGAAUCACAGUUGUCAACUUCCACUACUAGCACCACCUGUCUCGGAACUACUAUCUACACCUUCAAAACUCCGUUGAUUAUGGAACAAAGGAAGUUGUUACUGUAAUUUACAUCUCCUUACAGAAGCUCGUGAGAAAAUCAGGAAAAACAACUUUCUGAGCGAACUGAAGUGUCACGAUAACAUAAAGGUAGCAUUGGAUGCUAAACUUUAAGCCUGCUCAAGCUAAAGAAAUGGUCCCUUUAACAAAAAUACAUAAAUUACGUAAACAACGGCUACUUAAUGUCUCUUUAUAUUUGUUAUACUUUAUUUGAGUUAACUACAAACUAUCUAUUUUAUUAACAUGGAUUCUUUGAAUAUAAAGGGAUUAAAGUACAUUAUUACUUAUUUAUACGUUUUUAUUAGUAAAUGUUUUUAAAGAGGCAAAGUUUUAAUUUGAUGCAUUCCUAAUAUGGGAAACACAUUACAACUUUUCUUAAACUAAAAAAGAAACAUAUUAUAUGCCAAAAUUUAUUGCAUAACGUCCUGCCUUUAUCUAUUAAAACACAUUGCCUAACAUAUGAAUAUUUUUAUGAAAAAAUAAUAUGCACAUCAAUUGCAGUCUCAACUUACCAGAACCAAUGUUAGAAACUUAAUUUUUAAAAUUUAGGUUUCAGGUUGGUACAUGUAAGUCAAAGGCCGGGUAUAUGUCAUUCCAGGUGUGGGUUGACAUAGUUACUUUAACGGGGAUCAUUUAUGUAACUACAUUUAAUAGAUAUCAUUCAUUUUCUGUAUGUGCUGAUGUUCAUAGUUAAGUAGUUCAUGUUUUCUCAAAAUUUUAAGGAUGUAGUUUAGGAAGUCAACAAAUAAAGAGAAUUUUAUUACUGCAGGGAUAUUAGGGGCAUUUUUUUUGUUACUUUAUAAUGACAUAUAGUAUAAGAGGGUUUAGUUUAUGUACAAAACAAACAAAAAACGAAUACUCUUAGACAACAAAAUUAAAUUGAUUAAAAUAUUUAUUCACUUUACCGUUUUUUCUUUAUUACUUUCCCCUAUUUCUAUGUAAACUUGAGUUUCUUAAAUUCUGGUGUGCUUUCUAAUCGCAUAUAAAAGUAAAGUAAUAGUGUUGGUUUGUGACUUACAAGUAACAGUAUUCAAAUUGAUGUAGCAAUUAACCUUGGUAAGCGCAUCAUGUGUCAACUCAUAUUUUACUAAUGUCAUAUAUGCAUGUAUCUUCCUGCUGUAACUAUUGUGCUGAUACCAUCUAUUUUGUAGGUAAUAGCGGUGGUCCAACUUUUAAUGAUCAGGGAGAAUACAUAUCAAGUAACUAACUAACAUUGUGAUCUUUAUUUUGGUUGUUUCAACCAACAGAUUCUGGAAAAAAAUACAACAUAUUAAUGCUUUUGAAGUUAUCCCAAAUGGAAGUACAAAUUGAUCAAUGGAAGAUCCAGGAGGCGUAUAAUUUUAGUUAUGAUUUUUUGGUCUUCUCUCAAAUGUUUAAUCCAGACGACAGUUAAGGAUCUCUGCACUCUCUUCCAGUCUGUAUACCCAGAGGCAA